AAGUUUAUACCAUUCGCCAUGUGAUAUGUUUGUUAUUUGGUUGGUGGUUUCACCAAAUCAACCAGUAUCAGACAUAUAUCCAUGGAGUGUGGAAACUCAUC